rnacentral:rRNA from 1 species
AUUAAACGCUGGCGGCAUGCCUUACACAUGCAAGUCGAACGGUAGCGCGGGGCAACCUGGCGACGAGUGGCGAACGGGUGAGUAAAGCAUCGGAACGUGCCCUGGAAUGGGGGAUAACGUAGCGAAAGUUACGCUAAUACCGCAUAUUCUGUGAGCAGGAAAGCAGGGGAUCGCAAGACCUUGCGUUCUGGGAGCGGCCGAUGUCGGAUUAGCUAGUUGGUGGGGUAAAAGCCUACCAAGGCGACGAUCCGUAGCGGGUCUGAGAGGAUGAUCCGCCACACUGGGACUGAGACACGGCCCAGACUCCUACGGGAGGCAGCAGUGGGGAAUUUUGGACAAUGGGCGGAAGCCUGAUCCAGCCAUGCCGCGUGAGUGAAGAA